ACAGCGCCAGCUGCCUAAUUGA
rnacentral:miRNA from 1 species